rnacentral:lncRNA from 1 species
GCAGAAUGGUCCUACCCACCACUGGAACAUUUAACAUCUCUAAGUCCUGUCUUCCGAAUGCUGUCAUCCACAUGUCCGGGCAGCAGGGCCCUGUCCCUUGGGCUUCUCCGGAGUCUGGAGGCAUAACAGGAUGGAGGCGCGGCAGGAGUUGGCCCCGCAGUGGGAGCCUGGGACAAAGCAGGGACUCCAUGGUGACGAAGCUGGGUGACGAAGCUGGGCUCAGGCUGAGCUGCAUGGAGC